rnacentral:rRNA from 1 species
UGCAAGUCGAGGGGUAACGGAAGUAGCUUGCUACUAGACGACGACCGGCGCACGGGUGAGUAACGCGUAUGUAAUCUGCCUUGUACAGAGGGAUAGCCCAGAGAAAUUUGGAUUAAUACCUCAUAGUAUUACUGAAUCGCAUGAUUCGGUAAUUAAAGCUCCGGCGGUACAAGAUGAACAUGCGUGACAUUAGCUAGUUGGUAAGGUAACGGCUUACCAAGGCAACGAUGUCUAGGGGUUCUGAGAGGAUGAUCCCCCACACUGGUACUGAGACACGGACCAGACUCCUACGGGAGGCAGCAGUGAGGAAUAUUGGUCAAUGGACGCAAGUCUGAACCAGCCAUCCCGCGUGAAGGAUGACUGCCCUAUGGGUUGUAAACUUCUUUUAUAUGCAAAUAAACCUACUUUCGUGAAAGUAGCUGAAGGUAUCAUAUGAAUAA